rfam:Cryptococcus amylolentus CBS 6039 supercont1.6, whole genome shotgun sequence.
GCCUCUGUAGCUCAGGGGUUUAGAGUAUGUCCUUCGUAGUUUCACAAGGCAAAGACAGGUCAGGGUCACAGGUUCGAAUCCUGUCUGAGGCA